UUAAGUUCAGCGGGUAGUCUCACCCGAUUUGAGGUCAAGGUUCGUGGGUCGAGCAAGCUCGAACAAUGUCUUCCAUGAGACAGUUAGAGGCAGGUUCCCAAGGAACAGAGCAAAUCCCGAGACGUAGAAACAUCUUAUCACGCCUGGGGAUCGGCAAAGGGGACCCCACUAAUGCAUUUAAGAGGAGCUGGCUUUUCGCA
rnacentral:misc_RNA from 1 species